GAAAUCGUUACGAAAUCGUUAAGAAAUUGUUACGAAAUUGUUACGAAAUUGUUACGAAAUCGUUAAGAAAUCGUUACGAAAUCGUUACGAAAUCGUUAAGAAAUCGCUAUGAAAGCAUCAUAAGUAUAGCUAUAUAGUGAAUAUAUAUAUGUACGAUUAAGCUCACUUAUAUACAGCAUACUAUGUACAUACAUACAUGCAUGUACCCAUGCCAACCAACUACAUACACGUCACGUAGCCAUACUCUGCAAUGAAAUGAAAAGCAGAGAAAUACUGUUUUCUUUAAAGUACUUUCAAGCUAAAAGAGCUAUCACUACUACAAGUAGAAUAAAGUAUACCAACAAAAAAAACACUGAUGCUAUCAUAGAACAUAUUCCCCGUUCCGUCAAAAAUACUAGCUAUAUAUCACCUUAUUCUGUAUAUGAUGAAAAAAAUGAAAGUACAAAUAGAAAAAAAAAACAUAUUUUUGAACUAUUAAUGAAUACAAUAAAAAAUCGAGCUGAAGAACAUAAUGUUAUCAAAAUAAAAGAAUGCCAAAAUAAAAUUUUAAUAAAUUUAAAUAACUUCAACAUAAAUGAAGUAAUAUCAACAUUAAUCUUUUCUUUUCAAUAUAAUUUACUAAACUCAAAAUUAUUAUUAACAAUAUCCGAUUACCUAUUUGAACAUUCUUGUUUUUUAAAUAGUAAGCAUUUAUAUAUUUUAAUCCUAAUAACAAAACAAAUACAAUUAGAUAAUACCAACAUUUUGUUAAAUAAUAAAAAAAAAAUUAAUACAUAUAAUUCAAAAAAAAAUCAUUACUUGCAACAUGUUAAUGAAAAUAUAAACUGGAAAAAAAAACUUUUAAAAGAUAUACAAAAAAAUUUAUUGUGUGAUAAAAACGAGAAUGCAAUUUUUUUGAGUAAACAAGGUAUUGCUGAUGAUAUAUAUGAUGACGGUUUAUCUGACGAUGCAUAUACUGGAAACACACAGAACCCUGAUCAACGUGAUACUCCAUUAAACCAAAGUGCCUAUAACAUUACAAUCGAAUUGUUACAAAAAAAUGCAAAAAUAAACGACACAAACAACUUAGCUAAAGUUGAUAAUAUAUUAAAUAAUCAAACUUGUGAAAUAACAAAUUUGUUGUAUACUAAUAAAACUGAUGAUCUAAUAAACGAUUCCCAAAAAACAUAUAUAAAAAUAAAAAACAUUUUAUAUAAUAAUUAUAAUAAUAUUUAUCGUAAUUUACAAAACAAUAUAUACACAAAUUUAUCAUUAUUAAAUUAUUUAUACGAAGAAAAUAUAAUUACAAAAAAAGACUUUUUAAAAAUUAUUUAUAAUAUAAAUAUACAGUUCGAUCAACUCUUUUUUUCUAAUAAUAACAGUAAUAACAUAUAUAUGUUUCAAAACAAAACUUAUUCUGAUGCUAUAAUGAACUCAUAUAUU
rnacentral:lncRNA from 1 species